UACGUAGGGGGCAAGCGUUGUCCGGAAUCAUUGGGCGUAAAGGGCGCGUGGGCGGCCCGGUAAGUCCGCUGUAAAAGUCCAGGGCUCAACCCUGGAAAGCCGGUGGAUACUGUCGGGCUAGAGUCCGGAAGAGGCGAGUGGAAUUCCUGGUGUAGCGGUGGAAUGCGCAGAUAUCAGGAGGAACACCGAUGGCGAAGGCAGCUCGCUGGGACGGUACUGACGCUGAGGCGCGAAAGCGUGGGGAGCGAACAGG
rnacentral:rRNA from 1 species